UACGUAGGCAGCAAGCGUUGUUCGGAGUUACUGGGCGUAAAGGGUGUGUAGGCGGUUCUUUAAGUUUGGUGUGAAAUCUCCCGGCUCAACUGGGGGGGUGCGCCGAAUGCUGAGGGACUAGAGUACGGGAGAGGAAAGUGGAAUUCCUGGUGUAGCGGUGAAAUGCGUAGAUAUCAGGAGGAACACCGGUGGUGUAGACGGCUUUCUGGACCGUAACUGACGCUGAGACACGAAAGCGUGGGUAGCAAACAGG
rnacentral:rRNA from 1 species